rnacentral:rRNA from 1 species
GACGAACGCUGGCGGCGUGCUUAACACAUGCAAGUCGAACGGUAAGGCCCUUCGGGGUACACGAGUGGCGAACGGGUGAGUAACACGUGGGUGAUCUGCCCUGCACUUCGGGAUAAGCCUGGGAAACUGGGUCUAAUACCGGAUAGGACCACUGCCUGCAUGGGUGGUGGUGGAAAGCUUUUGCGGUGUGGGAUGGGCCCGCGGCCUAUCAGCUUGUUGGUGGGGUGAUGGCCUACCAAGGCGACGACGGGUAGCCGGGCUGAGAGGGUGACCGGCCACACUGGGACUGGGAUACGGCCCAGACUCCGACGGGAGGCAGCAGUGGGGAAUGUUGCACAAUGGGCGCAAGCCUGAUGCAGCGACGCCGCGUGAGGGAUGACGGCCUUCGGGUUGUAAACCUCUUUCAGCACCGACGAAGCGCAAGUGACGGUAGGUGCAGAAGAAGGACCGGCCAACUACGUGCCAGCCGCCGCAGUAA